GAAGUUUUCGGAUGGAAGUUGAAUUGACUGAGUGGCGGACGGGUGAGUAACGCGUGGGUAACCUGCCUUGUACUGGGGGACAACAGUUAGAAAUGACUGCUAAUACCGCAUAAGCGCACAGUAUCGUAUGAUACAGUGUGAAAAACUCCGGUGGUACAAGAUGGACCCGCGUCUGAUUAGCUAGUUGGUAAGGUAACGGCUUACCAAGGCGACGAUCAGUAGCCGACCUGAGAGGGUGACCGGCCACAUUGGGACUGAGACACGGCCCAAACUCCUACGGGAGGCAGCAGUGGGGAAUAUUGCACAAUGGGCGAAAGCCUGAUGCAGCGACGCCGCGUGAGUGAAGAAGUAUUUCGGUAUGUAAAGCUCUAUCAGCAGGGAAGAAAAUGACGGUACCUGACUAAGAAGCCCCGGCUAACUACGUGCCAGCAGCCGCGGUAAUACGUAGGGGGCAAGCGUUAUCCGGAUUUACUGGGUGUAAAGGGAGCGUAGACGGUAAAGCAAGUCUGAAGUGAAAGCCCGCGGCUCAACUGCGGGACUGCUUUGGAAACUGUUUAACUGGAGUGUCGGAGAGGUAAGUGGAAUUCCUAGUGUAGCGGUGAAAUGCGUAGAUAUUAGGAGGAACACCAGUGGCGAAGGCGACUUACUGGACGAUAACUGACGUUGAGGCUCGAAAGCGUGGGGAGCAAACAGG
rnacentral:rRNA from 1 species